AAAAACUUUAAGUGUUAAAAAUUAUAAAGUAAUGUAAGUAAAACAUUAUACUUAUAAAUCAUAAAUCUGAAGAUCGAAAAUAUGUCUAAAAUGAUCCCACUUGUUUAUGUUAUGAUUAUCAUUCUUUCUCUAUUUCUUGUCGUAACGAGCAUUAGCAGUAAGCAUUUUUCCUUUUAAAUUCGACUCUUUACUUCAUACAUAAUAUUUUAUCAUGCUUUCGUAUUUUAUCUUAAUUAUCUAAUGUUUGUUUUUAUUCCCUUUUUUUGUCAUAGCGGUGGGUGAAAAAUGUUUAACAAAUACGGAUUGUGAAUGCGACCCUCCUUUGAUAGCUUUUUGUAUAUUUAAAAAGUGUAUGUGUCAACCAAAACUAUUCGACAACAUACGAUUACCAAACCCAUAGGGGUUAAAAAGAAGCUCAACUAUAGUAUUAAAUAAGCUGUCAUUAGUUAUGGCAUUUCCAUCUUAUAAUUUGAUUUUCAUAUAGUUUGUUGUUUUUCAUAUUUCAUGGACCUUGUAGUUAAUUUUUGUACUACAAAAUGAUGUUAAAUGAAAUAAAAUAAGUUAUCGUUUUUUCUUUACAAUCUUAUUGUCUAUUAGAAUAUUUAUGUUGAAAAUAUUUUUAGGUUUUUAAGCCUAUCAUUUUAAAAUUUCUCUUAUGAUAUUCU
rnacentral:lncRNA from 1 species